rnacentral:rRNA from 1 species
AUUGAACGCUGGCGGCAUGCUUUACACAUGCAAGUCGAACGGCAGCGCGGGCUUCGGCCUGGCGGCGAGUGGCGAACGGGUGAGCAAUACAUCGGAACGUGCCCAGUAGUGGGGGAUAGCUCGGCGAAAGCCGGAUUAAUACCGCAUACGACCUGAGGGUGAAAGCGGGGGAUCUUCGGACCUCGCGCUAUUGGAGCGGCCGAUGGCAGAUUAGCUAGUUGGUGGGGUAAAGGCCUACCAAGGCGACGAUCUGUAGCUGGUCUGAGAGGACGACCAGCCACACUGGGACUGAGACACGGCCCAGACUCCUACGGGAGGCAGCAGUGGGGAAUUUUGGACAAUGGGCGAAAGCCUGAUCCAGCAAUGCCGCGUGUGUGAUGAAGGCCUUCGGGUUGUAAAGCACUUUUGGCGGGAACGAAAAGGACUGUGCCAAUACCACGGUUCGAUGACGGUACCCGCAGAAUAGGCACCGGCUAACUACGUG